rnacentral:rRNA from 1 species
GGCCGCAAGGUUAAAACUCAAAUGAAUUGACGGGGGCCCGCACAAGCGGUGGAGCAUGUGGUUUAAUUCGAUGCAACGCGAAGAACCUUACCUGGUCUUGACAUCCACAGAAGAAUCCAGAGAUGGAUUUGUGCCUUCGGGAACUGUGAGACAGGUGCUGCAUGGCUGUCGUCAGCUCGUGUUGUGAAAUGUUGGGUUAAGUCCCGCAACGAGCGCAACCCUUAUCCUUUGUUGCCAGCGAUUAGGUCGGGAACUCAAAGGAGACUGCCAGU